GACGAACGCUGGCGGCGUGCCUAAUACAUGCAAGUAGAACGCUGAAGAAAGGAGCUUGCUUCUUUUGGAUGAGUUGCGAACGGGUGAGUAACGCGUAGGUAACCUGCCUUGUAGCGGGGGAUAACUAUUGGAAACGAUAGCUAAUACCGCAUAACAGCUUUUGACACAUGUUAGAAGCUUGAAAGAUGCAAUUGCAUCACUACGAGAUGGACCUGCGUUGUAUUAGCUAGUAGGUAGGGUAACGGCCUACCUAGGCGACGAUACAUAGCCGACCUGAGAGGGUGAUCGGCCACACUGGGACGGAGACACGGACCAGACUCCUACGGGAGGCAGCAGGAGGGAAUCUUCGGCAAUGGGGGCAACCCUGACCGAGCAACGCCGCGUGAGUGAAGAAGGUUUUCGGAUCGUAAAGCUCUGUUGUAAGAGAAGAACGUGUGUGAGAGUGGAAAGUUCACACAGUGACGGUAACUUACCAGAAAGGGACGGCUAACUACGUGCCAGCAGCCGCCGUAA
rnacentral:rRNA from 1 species